rnacentral:rRNA from 1 species
AUUGAACGCUGGCGGAAUGCUUUACACAUGCAAGUCGAACGGCAGCACGGGGGCAGCCCUGGUGGCGAGUGGCGAACGGGUGAGUAAUACAUCGGAACGUGCCCGGUCGUGGGGGAUAACGUAGCGAAAGUUACGCUAAUACCGCAUACGAUCUGAGGGUGAAAGCGGGGGACCUUCGGGCCUCGCGCGAUCGGAGCGGCCGAUGUCAGAUUAGGUAGUUGGUGGGGUAAAGGCCUACCAAGCCGACGAUCUGUAGCUGGUCUGAGAGGACGACCAGCCACACUGGGACUGAGACACGGCCCAGACUCCUACGGGAGGCAGCAGUGGGGAAUUUUGGACAAUGGGCGCAAGCCUGAUCCAGCCAUUCCGCGUGCAGGACGAAGGCCUUCGGGUUGUAAACUGCUUUUGUACGGAACGAAAAGGCUCUGGCUAAUACCUGGGGCUCAUGACGGUACCGUAAGAAUAAGCACCGGCUAACUACGUG